AGUGGCAAAGUGAGGGAGGGAAGGGGUGACUAGUGACAGAGUGAGGGGAUGACUGGUGACAGAGUGAGGGGGGGGGUGACUGUCACUAGUCACCCCAUCCCUCUCUCUGUCACUAGUCACUCCCUCCCUAACUCUGUCACUGUGUCACCCGCUCCCUCACUCUGUCACUAGUCACCCCCUUACUCUGUCACUGUGUCACCCCCUCCCUCACUCUGUCACU